ensembl:lncRNA
UUUUUUUUUUUUUUUUUGGUCAUCUUUUGGUAACAUGCUGUAAGGGUGUGCAGCCACAGUUAGUGGAAAAGGAUUUAAUCCCACAGCAUUAGACAAGCAAUUACAUAUACCAGAUAGAGAGUCCCCAGGUCUUGAGCACAUGAUGCCUGGAAGCACAGCAUACCAUUUGCAGUUAUCUCUCAGAUAGGUUUUCUAUAUUUGGUGGUGAUUAUGUUAUUAAUAGCAAAGCAAGUGGCAGUGAUGUCUAGAACAUCAAAGACAGAUUUCCACUGUUCUUUUGGGGCUUCAAGGUGACUGUCAUUAGGAACAUGGACAGCCUUGGUAAUAAUGGAAUUGUUUCCUGUUUUGGGUUUUGUUUUUAUUUUUGUUUUUUUGGCAUUAUCCCACAAACUCAAUAGUUGCCCUGGUGUUUUGCUACAGCAUGAGCCUAUGCUAAAGCCAUCGACUUACUAUGGUCCCAUUGGUUUUUCUGUGGGGAAAGGGAAAAAAUUAGGACAACAGCAUAUAAGGACAAAUAAAAAAAUGGCUGGGUGCAGUGGCUCAUGCCUGUAAUCUCAACACUUUGGGAGGCAGAGAUAGGCAGAUCAUUUGAGGUGAAGAGUUCAAGACCAGCCUGGCCAAUGUGGUGAAAGCCCAUCUCUACUAAAAAAAAAAGAAAAAAUAAUAAUAAUUAGCUAGGGAUGAUGGUGCAUACCUGUAAUUCUGGCUACUUGGGAGGCUGAGGCAGGAAAAUUGCUUGAACCUGGGAGGUGGAGGUUUCAAUGAGUCAAGAUCCCACUACUGCACUCCAGCCUGGGAGGCACAGUAAAACUCCAUCUCAAAAAAAAAAAAAAAAAAAAAAAAAAGAAGCUAAAUCUUGAUCUGUGAUCUUGGGAAAGUUGUCCACAUCUAGGAUGUCCUUUGAUUUUGGGGAGAAACUUUCCUGGUCAGUUUUACUUUAAGGUCUUCAACAAGUUUAUAGCUCUAAAAGUCUGAAAGGGAAUACUUGAGUUGUAAGAUAGAGCUAAGAUUCAAGGCCUUAAUAUUUUACUGCACUAUGGUUGGUAAGAACCUGGCAUGAUCCCUUCCAGCGAGGUUCAAAGGCAGUCUUUUCCUGAUGUCAUUUCCAGAAGACCUAAUUGCUGGACUCUAAAUUAGGAAGUUUGGUUGUCCUCAGUUGGUGGAUUACAAAAGCUUCUUUUAUCUGGAAAAAACACACUCUGGCGUAAAGCAUUAAAGCCUUGCAAUAGUUUGGUAAGUGACUGUCAAAGCUUUUCUAUAAUACACAGCAAAGCUUCUAUCCAACCAGAGAAUAUACAAACUAUUAUAAAAGCAUAUUGAUAUCCCACUGAUAGUGGCAAUUAAAUGAAAUCCAUCUAUCCAAAUGGUCCACCAGGUGUCAGAAAUGUCCCACCUAAAGUUGUAAUUUUUUUACCAGGUUUAUGGGCUUGAAAAACUAAACAUUGGUUACAAACCAUUUUUGCAAUUUUAGAACAGUUUUCCCUCCAAUUUUUUGAAUAAUAAUAUAUGAUUUGAUCUACUUUAUGAUGAAAUAUGGAGUACAGAGUUUUCAUAAUGGAAGCAUUAAGAACUCA